UACGUAGGGUGCGAGCGUUGUCCGGAAUCAUUGGGCGUAAAGGGCGCGUAGGUGGCGGGACAAGCGUGCGGUGAAAGCCUGGGGCUCAACCCCGGGUCGGCCGUGCGAACUGUUUUGCUUGAGCACUGUAGAGGCAGGCGGAAUUCCGGGUGUAGCGGUGGAAUGCGUAGAGAUCCGGAAGAACACCGGUGGCGAAGGCGGCCUGCUGGGCAGUAGCUGACACUGAGGCGCGACAGCGUGGGGAGCAAACAGG
rnacentral:rRNA from 1 species